rnacentral:rRNA from 1 species
GGCAGCUCUAGUGGUAGCCAUUUUUAUUGGGCCUAAAGCGUUCGUAGCCGGUUUGAUAAGUCUCUGGUGAAAUCCUAUAGCUUAACUGUGGGACUUGCUGGAGAUACUAUUAGACUUGAGGUCGGGAGAGGUUAGCGGUACUCCCAGGGUAGGGGUGAAAUCCUGUAAUCCUGGGAGGACCACCUGUGGCGAAGGCGGCUAACUGGAACGAACCUGACGGUGAGGGACGAAAGCCAGGGGCGCGAACC